rnacentral:rRNA from 1 species
UACGAAGGGGGCUAGCGUUGCUCGGAAUCACUGGGCGUAAAGCGCACGUAGGCGGCUUGAUAAGCCGGGUGUGAAACCUCCAAGCUCAACUUGGAGCGGCCACUCGGAACUGUCAUGACUCGGGUCAGGUAGGGGAACACGGAAUUCCAGGUGUAGCGGUGAAAUGCUUAGAUAUCUGGAGGAACACCAGUGGCGAAGGCGGUGUUCUGGGCCGAUACUGACGCUGAGGAGCGAAAGCGUGGGGAGCGAACAGG